rnacentral:rRNA from 1 species
CACGUAGGGCGCAAGCGUUGUCCGGAAUCACUGGGCGUAAAGCGCACGUAGGCGGAUUGUUAAGUCAGGGGUGAAAUGCCAAGGCUCAACCUUGGAACUGCCUUUGAUACUGGAGAUCUUGAGUCCGGGAGAGGUGAGUGGAAUUGCGAGUGUAGAGGUGAAAUUCGUAGAUAUUCGCAAGAACACCAGUGGCGAAGGCGGCUCACUGGCCCGGAACUGACGCUGAGACGCGAAAGCGUGGGGAGCAAACAGG